CCGCCCGGAACAGCAUGCGAGCCCCCAUGAUGCGAACAGAACGCAGCGGUCUCUCCAACGAGGAAGAAUUGUUCAAAAGUUAAAAAAGGACCAUCCACACACGUAUUGCCACAGCAGAAGCGCAGUCUAGGUGUGUCUUCCAGACCACCACGUCGAAGCAUAUCGCAGGUCUCAGACGUGCCACCACAGCAACUCCUCGACAGUCCGCUGCCCUUGUCACCGCUUUCGUCACACUUGCCUGGGGAUACCAUUCUUCAGCCAAGUCAGCCAGGCCAAGUGCAGAAAUCUGACAAUGAGGAAACAUUCACACACAAUCUUACAGCAAUACCACCACCUGAUCAACCAACAACACAUUUUGCAACUCCGCCCACUCAACAGACACCUCAACAGGACAGAAGCACUACCACACAAAUACCAAAGUCUCAAGAACAGGCAUUUUGGGACAGCUGGUCCACCCAGCAAACAAAUAACUUAGAUUGUUUGCGUAGGCAACCCCAAUUUCUCUAU